rnacentral:rRNA from 1 species
UACGGGGGGGGCAAGCGUUGUUCGGAAUUACUGGGCGUAAAGGGCUCGUAGGUGGCCAACUAAGUCAGACGUGAAAUCCCUCGGCUUAACCGGGGAACUGCGUCUGAUACUGGAUGGCUUGAGUUCGGGAGAGGGAUGCGGAAUUCCAGGUGUAGCGGUGAAAUGCGUAGAUAUCUGGAGGAACACCGGUGGCGAAGGCGGCAUCCUGGACCGACACUGACGCUGAGGAGCGAAGGCCAGGGGAGCAAACGGG